rnacentral:rRNA from 1 species
AUGAACGCUAGCGGCAGGCCUAACACAUGCAAGUCGAGGGGUAUAGAGAGCUUGCUUUCUAGAGACCGGCGCACGGGUGAGUAACGCGUAUGCAACCUACCUUAUACAGGGGAAUAGCCCGAAGAAAUUCGGAUUAAUGCUCCAUGGUUUAUUGAUGUGGCAUCACAUUAGUAAUAAAGAUUUAUCGGUAUAAGAUGGGCAUGCGUAUCAUUAGCUAGUUGGUAUGGUAACGGCAUACCAAGGCUACGAUGAUUAGGGGUCCUGAGAGGGAGAUCCCCCACACUGGUACUGAGACACGGACCAGACUCCUACGGGAGGCAGCAGUGAGGAAUAUUGGUCAAUGGAGGCAACUCUGAACCAGCCAUGCCGCGUGCAGGAUGACGGUCCUAUGGAUUGUAAACUGCUUUUGUACAGGAAGAAACCUCUCUACGUGUAGAGACUUGACGGUACUGUAAGAAUAAGGAUCGGCUAACUCCGU